rnacentral:lncRNA from 1 species
GCGCUGGAUCCGGCAGCAGCUGCCGGUCACGGUGGCUCAUGCACUUUGGGAAGCCGAGGCGAGCAGAUCACUUGAGAUCAGGAGUUCAAGACCAGCCUGGCCAACACGGUGAAACCCCAUCUCUACUAAAAAUACAAAAGAUAGCCUGGCAUCGUGGUGGGUGCCUGUAAUCCCAGCUACUCAGGAGGCUGAGACAGGAGAAUUGCUUGAACCCAGGAGGUGGAGGUUGCAG